rnacentral:rRNA from 1 species
GACGAACGCUGGCGGCGUGCCUAACACAUGCAAGUCGAGCGAGAAAGUCCCCGCAAGGGGAUGAGUACAGCGGCGCACGGGUGAGUAACACGUGGGUAAUCUACCUUCAGGUGGGGGACAACAGCUCGAAAGAGUUGCUAAUACCCCAUAUGACCCCGGAGUCCUCGGACUCUGAGGUAAAAGGCUUGCUGCCUGGAGAUGAGCCCAUGUCUGAUUAGCUUGUUGGUGGGGUAAUGGCCUACCAAGGCAA